rnacentral:rRNA from 1 species
GAUGAACGCUGGCGGCGUGCUUAACACAUGCAAGUCGAACGGAAAGGCCCAAGCUUGCUUGGGUACUCGAGUGGCGAACGGGUGAGUAACACGUGGGUGAUCUGCCCUGCACUUCGGGAUAAGCCUGGGAAACUGGGUCUAAUACCGGAUAGGACCACAUUUUGGAUGGUGUGGUGGAAAGUUUUUCGGUGUGGGAUGAGCUCGCGGCCUAUCAGCUUGUUGGUGGGGUAAUGGCCUACCAAGGCGUCGACGGGUAGCCGGCCUGAGAGGGUGUACGGCCACAUUGGGACUGAGAUACGGCCCAGACUCCUACGGGAGGCAGCAGUGGGGAAUAUUGCACAAUGGGCGCAAGCCUGAUGCAGCGACGCCGCGUGGGGGAUGACGGCCUUCGGGUUGUAAACUCCUUUCGCUAGGGACGAAGUGCAAGUGACGGUACCUGGAGAAGAAGCACCGGCUAACUACGUG